rnacentral:rRNA from 1 species
CUUACCAAAUCUUGACAUCCUCUGACCCCUCUAGAGAUAGAGUUUUCCCCUUUGGGGGACAGAGUGACAGGUGGUGCAUGGUUGUCGUCAGCUCGUGUCGUGAGAUGUUGGGUUAAGUCCCGCAACGAGCGCAACCCUUAAGCUUAGUUGCCAUCAUUAAGUUGGGCACUCUAAGUUGACUGCCGGUGACAAACCGGAGGAAGGUGGGGAUGACGUCAAAUCAUCAUGCCCCUUAUGAUUUGGGCUACACACGUGCUACAAUGGACAAUACAAAGGGCAGCGAAACCGCGAGGUCAAGCAAAUCCCAUAAAGUUGUUCUCAGUUCGGAUUGUAGUCUGCAACUCGACUAUAUGAAGCUGGAAUCGCUAGUAAUCGUAGAUCAG